rnacentral:rRNA from 1 species
ACUUCCAGCAGUCCCAAAAUAUUAGUCAAUGCUCGAAAGAGUGAACUAGCUAACUGAAAUCAAUUUAAAAAUUGAUAACAUAAGGGAAAAUAAUGAUAUUACCUUAUUAUUAGUGUCGUCCAAAACUGGUGCCAGAAGACUCGGUAAGGCCAGAGACACAAACGUUAAUCGUCUUAAUCAGGCGUAAAGGGUUUGUAGGCGGCUUUAAAAUUUAUUUAAAAUAAUAUUAAGUAAAGAAUAAAAGCUAGAAUCAAAUAGAGGAUAUAUGAAAGAAUGCUUAGAGUAGGUCUGAUAUCCUUAGAUACUAAGUAGAAUAUUAAAGGCGAAAGCUUUUUUCCAUUAAUGAUUGACGCUCAGAAACGAAGGUGAGGAUAGGAAAUAGGAUUAGAUACCCAGAAUACCCCUCUCUGUCAACGAUGAAUGGUAGUUAUUAGUACAAAUUAUUAAUGGCAAUGUUAACACGAUAACCAUUCCGCCUUGUGAGUACAACUGCAAAGUUGAAAACAAAAAAAUUAGUCGGUUUCGGAGCAAACGAAGUGAAGCAUGUUAUUUAAUUCAAUAAUCCGCAAA